GCGAACGCUGGCGGCAGGCCUCACCCAUGCAAGUCGCACGAACCUUUCGGGGUUAGUGGCGGACGGGUGAGUAACACGUGGGAACGUGCCUUUAGGUUCGGAAUAACUCAGGGAAACUUGUGCUAAUACCGAAUGUGCCCUUCGGGGGAAAGAUUAAUCGCCUUUAGAGCGGCCCGCGUCUGAUUAGCUAGUUGGUUGAGGUAAUGGCUCACCAAGGCGACGAUCAGUAGCUGGUCUGAGAGGAUGAUCAGCCACAUUGGGACUGAGACACGGCCCAAACUCCUACGGGAGGCAGCAGUGGGGAAUCUUGCGCAAUGGGCGAAAGCCUGACGCAGCCAUGCCGCGUGAAUGAUGAAGGUCUUAGGAUUGUAAAAUUCUUUCACCGGGGACGAUAAUGACGGUACCCGGAGAAGAAGCCCCGGCUAACUUCGUG
rnacentral:rRNA from 1 species